AUGUCCCAAUAUCUCCAUGUGUCCCCUGUCCCCGUGUCCCCUCUCCCGGCGCCCCGCACGGGACCUGUCCGGGUGCCGGCGGCUCUCUGGGGAGCUGUGCGCGGAGCCGGCGCCGUCGGUGUUGGCGGCGGGGCCGUCCCUAGGGGACAGCGGCGGGCGGUGAGGGGACACCGGGGCCGGGGGCAGCCCCGCGCCCGCUCCCGGCGCGCACCUGCCGGGCGGCGCCUCCUGGAUGCUCUCGAUGCCGAUGGCGCUGGAGCGGCGGGAGCCGAGCGGGCCGGGCCGCCGCCGGGACGGGCUCUUCCCGGGCACCAGCAGCGCCUGCGGGAGCGCGGUCAGC
rnacentral:lncRNA from 1 species